rnacentral:tRNA from 1 species
GGGGGUGGAUCGGGCCUGGUGGCCUGACCGGUCUUCAAAACCGCGAUGGAGGCGCCUCAGGCGGCUCCGGUGGGUUCGAUUCCCACACGCUCCCGCCA